GGCGUGGCGCGUGCUAUACAUGCAGUCGAACGCUUCUUUCCUCCCGAGUGCUUGCACUCAAUUGGAAAGAGGAGUGGCGGACGGGUGAGUAACACGUGGGUAACCUACCCAUCAGAGGGGGAUAACACUUGGAAACAGGUGCUAAUACCGCAUAACAGUUUAUGCCGCAUGGCAUAAGAGUGAAAGGCGCUUUCGGGUGUCGCUGAUGGAUGGACCCGCGGUGCAUUAGCUAGUUGGUGAGGUAACGGCUCACCAAGGCCACGAUGCAUAGCCGACCUGAGAGGGUGAUCGGCCACACUGGGACUGAGACACGGCCCAGACUCCUACGGGAGGCAGCAGUAGGGAAUCUUCGGCAAUGGACGAAAGUCUGACCGAGCAACGCCGCGUGAGUGAAGAAGGUUUUCGGAUCGUAAAACUCUGUUGUUAGAGAAGAACAAGGACGUUAGUAACUGAACGUCCCCUGACGGUAUCUAACCAGAAAGCCACGGCUAACUACGUGCCAGCAGCCGCGGUAAUACGUAGGUGGCAAGCGUUGUCCGGAUUUAUUGGGCGUAAAGCGAGCGCAGGCGGUUUCUUAAGUCUGAUGUGAAAGCCCCCGGCUCAACCGGGGAGGGUCAUUGGAAACUGGGAGACUUGAGUGCAGAAGAGGAGAGUGGAAUUCCAUGUGUAGCGGUGAAAUGCGUAGAUAUAUGGAGGAACACCAGUGGCGAAGGCGGCUCUCUGGUCUGUAACUGACGCUGAGGCUCGAAAGCGUGGGGAGCAAACAGGAUUAGAUACCCUGGUAGUCCACGCCGGAGACGAUGACUGCUAAGUGUUGGAGGGUUUCCGCCCUUCAGUGCUGCGCCAAACGCAUUAUUCACUCCCCCUGCGGAGUAGAACCGCAAGGCUCAAACUCAAAGGAAAUGGACGUUUUCCCGCACAAACGAUAAAGCAUGGGGGUUUUUUUUAAACCACAAAAAAAAACGUAACAAGUUUUCACCUCUUUAUACCCCUCGGGGGAUGAAAAAUAUCCUUCCUCCCUUUUGGAAAAAAAAGGCGGGGGGGGGGGGUUC
rnacentral:rRNA from 1 species